UACAGAGGUCUCAAGCGUUGUUCGGAUUCAUUGGGCGUAAAGGGUGCGUAGGCGGCGCGGUAAGUCGGGUGUGAAAUCUCGGAGCUUAACUCCGAAACUGCAUUCGAUACUGCCGUGCUUGAGGACUGGAGAGGAGACUGGAAUUUACGGUGUAGCGGUGAAAUGCGUAGAUAUCGUAAGGAAGACCAGUGGCGAAGGCGGGUCUCUGGACAGUUCCUGACGCUGAGGCACGAAGGUCAGGGGAGUAAACGGG
rnacentral:rRNA from 1 species